GGGGCUGUAACGGUUUCGACGUUUUGACGAAAGUCACGCUGUGAUACAGGCCGAGAGGGAGUCUACUCUCGCAAAUCAAGGCUCAAACCAAACGUAACUGCGAACAACAUCGUUCCUUUUGCUCGUAAAGCUGCACCUGUUGCUGCUUAAAUAAACCUAGUUUAACGAGCGUUCAUAGUUUGACUCCGUUAAGAGCUAUGGACAAACCCCAACGGAUGCAUUAGUAGAUUUCCUCUGGUGGAUCUAUUAAUUAAGACUUAGCCAGAGCAUCCCGCCGUCCGGGAUAAGUGGCGGUUCCGGCCCUGAGGGUUAGAGGGGCUAAGCCUGUGAACGAGUGGUGUGUUAAUAAUCAAAGCGGACACGGGUUCGACUCCCGUCAGCUCCAUUU
rnacentral:tmRNA from 1 species